AGCGAACGCUGGCGGCAGGCUUAACACAUGCAAGUCGAACGGGCGUAGCAAUACGUCAGUGGCAGACGGGUGAGUAACACGUGGGAACGUACCUUUUGGGUUCGGAACAACUGAGGGAAACUUCAGCUAAUACCGGAUAAGCCCUUACGGGGAAAGAUUUAUCGCCGAAAGAUCGGCCCGCGUCUGAUUAGCUAGUUGGUGGGGUAAGAGCCCAACCAAGGCGACGAUCAGUAGCUGGUCUGAGAGGAUGAUCAGCCACAUUGGGACUGAGACACGGCCCAAACUCCUACGGGAGGCAGCAGUGGGGAAUAUUGGACAAUGGGCGAAAGCCUGAUCCAGCCAUGCCGCGUGAGUGAUGAAGGCCCUAGGGUUGUAAAGCUCUUUUAACGGGGAAGAUAAUGACGGUACCCGUAGAAUAAGCCCCGGCUAACUUCGUGCCAGCAGCCGCGGUAAU
rnacentral:rRNA from 1 species